GCCUUCUCUCCUGCUCUGCUCCUCCUCCUGGCUGAGCACAGGGAACAGGAAUGGGGUGGAGGGGGUGGGGACCCACGGGAGGCCGAGGGGGACAGGUGUCCAGAGACCUGGGGUUGGACUCUGAAGUCCUUUCCCCUCCCUAGGUGUCCUGUCUGAGUUGCACAUUCCAUGAAAUCAUUCCUUCCCUUCUUCAUUCUCUUAGUCAAUCAACAAACACUCCCCAGUGCCGUUCCAGUACGAAGCUCCUGACUUGACUGAGGACCAUGAAUUUGGGAACUGCUGACAUUAGAAUUUGAGCCCUGGGACUUCCUAGCUGGGGACUUCUGAAGGUCACCAUCCUCAGUUGUAGAAAGUGGCUUCAGGAUGACACCCAAACCAAUUUAAAGAUGAGAAACACCCGGUCACAGGAAGGCUGGAUCACCCCCAGGAUCAAAUGACAAAGACCAGGGCCUGGCAAGGCAGCAGAGAAGCUGGCCUGGUUUCCGAUAGCCUGCGUGGUCCUGGCCUUCUCAGAUGAGGAUGUCCUGGAAGCUGCGUGGUGUGCUGUGGUGUUGUAGAAAGUGGUACAGACAGCGCCAGCUACUUCUGCGGGUGGACCCCACAGCUUCCGGAUUUUACCGAAGAACAGUUCAUAGCCAGGAUCACUGGUGGGCAUUGCUGCGGACCAGAAGCUGUUCCCACUGGACAAUAGCUUCGUGAGAACAGACGACUAAGCAGGGGCUCAGAGAAAUGGAGUGACUGUCCCAAGGUCAAAUAGCCAGUUUGGGUUCAGAUCCUACUUUGUCAGACUCGCAGUUGGGUACACGUUGCUGUCCAUAGUUUUUAUGACCCAGCAGCAAUGGAGUAGAAAUGUUUGCAGGGUGGCAGAAUGCCUUCUCCAUUAACCGGGCACAGUACAUUUUAAGGCAGUAGAAAGUAUCUCUGAACAACAGUGGGUUUAGCACACAGCUUAGCAGAGCCCCUCACAGCUGGAUCCCAGGCAGAGAGGGGCAAGGGAGAGGCUCUCCUGGAGUACUCUGGGUCUGAGCUGUGAGUUGGGACUCCCCCCGCCCCCCAGGGACUGGCCAGGAAGGGACUGGCCUAUCGACAAGGAGGACAGCAAAAGGGACCAAUCAAUGCUAUCUCUCCAGGCCAUGCCUGGCCAGACAUUGAUUUCUAGCUCUGCUGUUAACUCCCUGUUUAUGUAGCGCCUGAACUUUGCACAACAGAACAUUUAAUGCACAGAGAGGGCCCGUUGCCAUGAAAACCAGGCUACGCUGACAGCCAGGACGCGGCCCUAUCCCUGGUUUAUUGGCCUGCGCAGAAUGUAUUUUAACCUUGAUAAGUCAAUAACUUUUUAUACUGAAGGAAAUCUGCCAGGAGGGCUUAGGACCCACUGGCCUCUCCCGGUCAGAGGGGAGGUGUAGCAGCUGGCUUUAAUCCCCUGGAAAUCUCUCUGCCACUCACAGGCCUGGCCUGCAGACACCAGCGCCUAGCUGGGGGGUCGGGCAGGGACCACCCUCACUUCCAGCCUCUGUCUGGUUACUGAAAGCCUCUAGCAAAGUUGGAAACACUUAUUGGAUAAGAGACCCAGGAAGGCUCAAAUUCCAGCUCCACCUUCCCAUGACCUUGAGCAAGGCCAACGUCACCAAAAUCUACACCCGUCACCCAGCUAGUGAAUCUUCUCCAUGACUUGUGUUAGGUUUGCAGAUGAAACCUGGGGGUGGCUGGUCACAGUGACCCCAAGGGUCUGUGAUUGUCAUUUUCACAUGUAUGUUAUAAUGGCCCUGUUCCUGUUUUCUCAUUAUUGUCUUGAGAUGGCCAAGGCUGCGGCCAAUACCCCCAGUUUCCAGUUGUGCAAAUUAAGGCCCAGGGAAAUUGGCUAUCUCAUACAGGAAUCUAUAAGAGGGCUGUUCUUAUAGGCAUAUCAAUGCUAAGCCCUGUGUGCUUCUAAACUCAGAAACUUUAACACAGGAAUAACACACACACACACACACACACACACACACACACACAGCUGCCAGUUCCUGGACUCAGUAGACAUCUCUAGCCAAAGACAGCACAGCUCUUUACCUCCUGAGCUUGCCUCUGAAUUCUCUUCAAGACAGAGCUGUGUUCCAAAUAGAACCGUAUGUCUCCAAAGGGCUCUAUGUUCAAGUUCUAUUCUGUCCCGAAUUUGCUGUGUGACCUUGGGCAAGUGCCUUGCCCUCUCUGCAGGUGAUCCACAGUGAUGUAGUAUGAGAACAUAGGGAACAUUGUGGUCUCUGGGAUUCCCAGAGAGUUCUCAUAACUUUGAGGAACCCACCAUGAAGCCUGACUUCCCAUUCUAACUCUGCCCUCUUCUCAGAGCCCCUGAACCUUUUCCAACUCCAGCAAAUACUGACCUACUGACCCAGAACUGGGAAAGCAGGGUAGCUGGGUGAGGCAAACAAUAAACAAGGCCACC